AGUGAACGCUGGCGGUAGGCCUAACACAUGCAAGUCGAACGGCAGCACAGUAAGAGCUUGCUCUUACGGGUGGCGAGUGGCGGACGGGUGAGGAAUACAUCGGAAUCUACUUUUUAGUGGGGGAUAACGUAGGGAAACUUCCGCUAAUACCGCAUACGACCUACGGGUGAAAGCAGGGGAUUUUCGGACCUUGCGCGAUUGAAUGAGCCGAUGUCGGAUUAGCUAGUUGGCGGGGUAAAGGCCCACCAAGGCGACGAUCCGUAGCUGGUCUGAGAGGAUGAUCAGCCACACUGGAACUGAGACACGGUCCAGACUCCUACGGGAGGCAGCAGUGGGGAAUAUUGGACAAUGGGCGCAAGCCUGAUCCAGCCAUACCGCGUGGAGGAUGAAGGCCUUCGGGUUGUAAAGCCCUUUUGUUGGGAAAGAAAAGCAGCAUGUUAAUACCCCGCUGUUCUGACGGUACCCAAAGAAUAAGCACCGGCUAACUUCGUG
rnacentral:rRNA from 1 species